GAUGAACGCUGGCGGCGUGCCUAAUACAUGCAAGUCGAGCGAACAGACGAGGAGCUUGCUCCUCUGACGUUAGCGGCGGACGGGUGAGUAACACGUGGAUAACCUACCUAUAAGACUGGGAUAACUUCGGGAAACCGGAGCUAAUAUCGGAUAAUAUAUUGAACCGCAUGGUUCAAUAGUGAAAGACGGUUUUGCUGUCGCUUAUAGAUGGAUCCGCGCCGCAUUAGCUAGUUGGUAAGGUAACGGCUUACCAAGGCAACGAUGCGUAGCCGACCUGAGAGGGUGAUCGGCCACACUGGAACUGAGACACGGUCCAGACUCCUACGGGAGGCAGCAGUAGGGAAUCUUCCGCAAUGGGCGAAAGCUUGACGGAGCAACGCCGCGUGAGUGAUGAAGGUCUUCGGAUCGUAAAACUCUGUUAUUAGGGAAGAACAAAUGUGUAAGUAACUAUGCACGUCUUGACGGUACCUAAUCAGAAAGCCACGGCUAACUACGCG
rnacentral:rRNA from 1 species